UAGGGAAUCUUCCGCAAUGGGCGAACGCCUGACGGAGCAACGCCGCGUGAGUGAUGAAGGUCUUCGGAUCGUAAAACUCUGUUCUUAGGGAAGAACAAAUGUGUAAGUAACUAUGCACGUCUUGACGGUACCUAAUCAGAAAGCCACGGCUAACUACGUGCCAGCAGCCGCGGUAAUACGUAGGUGGCAAGCGUUAUCCGGAAUUAUUGGGCGUAAAGCGCGCGUAGGCGGUUUUUUAAGUCUUAUGUGAAAGCCCACGGCUCAACCGUGGAGGGUCAUUGGAAACUGGAAGACUUGAGUGCAGAAGAGGAAAGUGGAAUUCCAUGUGGAGCGGUGAAUUGCGCAGAGAUUUGGGGGAAAACCAUUGGCGAAUGCGACUUUCUGGUCUGUAACUGACGCGGAUGUGCGAAAGCGUGGGGAUACAAAAGG
rnacentral:rRNA from 1 species